UGGCUCUGGCAUCGAUGAAGAACGCAGCGAAAUGCGAUACGUAAUGUGAAUUGCAGAACUCAGCGAAUCAUCGAAUCUUUGAACGCACAUUGCGCCCGCCAGUAUUCUGGCGGGCAUGCCUGUCCGAGCGUCAUUUCAACCCUCAGGCCCCGCCUGGUGUUGGGGCCCCACGGCCGCCGUGGGCCCCGAAAAGCAGUGGCGGGCUCGCCAGGACCCCGAGCGCAGUGAUAUACCUCGCCCGCGGCGUCCCGGCGCGCCCCGCCGUUAAAGACACCCCCGCGCCCCGCGCGACACAAGGUUGACCUCGGAUCAGGUAGGAAUACCCGCUGA
rnacentral:misc_RNA from 1 species